GACUUUCAUCAACGGAUCUCUUGGUUCUGGCAUCGAUGAAGAACGCAGCAAAAUGCGAUAAGUAAUGUGAAUUGCAGAAUUCAGUGAAUCAUCGAAUCUUUGAACGCACAUUGCGCCCGCCAGUAUUCUGGCGGGCAUGCCUGUUCGAGCGUCAUUU
rnacentral:rRNA from 1 species